GAAAUAAAAAACAAUAAUUGGCAUUUAAAAGUAAAUAAUUCACAAAGUUCGGAGAUUAUUUUUAAUUCUAAAAAUAGACAUUAAAACAUUAGAAAUAAUUGUUUUAUAAGCAGUGAAUUUCCAAAAUAGUAUUGUUAUAUUAAAAAUGUCAUUCCAGCUUCAAAGCCCUUAAGUGCAGAUGUAGUUGAGGAACGGGAAAAAAAAACGCUGUCGUGCAGUGAAUGUCAUCGUCAGCACGCCAAAGACGCAUCAGUCUAGCCGAGCUCCAGCAGCACCGGCAGAGAGCUCGCUGAAGUACAUAGUUUCAUGUUGUUGUUGGUGCUUUACAAACUGAUGAAAAUUGCAAUUUGUAAAAGCGAGAUGUGAGCGCUAAAGUUUGCAUAAUAGUGAGAAAGUAUGUAGGAAUAAAAGAUUGUAGUUGGUAAAAGAAAAAUAAUAGUACCUUCAAAUAAAAAGAAAACAGAAAAAGUGAUCUUCGAAUAUGAAAUUGCGUUCUAAUGAAAUGUAAUGUGUGAAAGAAGAAAAGUAAUUGUGGGAAAAAUAAAGUACGUUUUCGUGCAGUUGCAAUCGGUCUUUGUGGCAAAUAAAUAUUUAAGUUUUCUGUGAAGUUAUUUACGAAAAGCUGAAUACUAAAAUUGGUACUUACAAGGAAAGAAUAAAUAUGUAAUUAAAAAAAGACAAAAUUAAUAUGAAUAAAGUUUUGCUUUUGCAAGUGAAAAUGAAUUAGAAUAACUUUCUAAGACAUAAAAAAUAAAUAAAGGAUAGUGCAAUAAAAAUUUUCCUAGUUCAAAAGCUUCAGCAUAGAAGCAAAUUCUUGGUGCAAUAAAAUUUAAUGUUUUCCAACAUCACAGCUCAGCAUUGGAUUUCUAUGCCUGGUUGAAAUAUAAUCCUAUGCAUCAGCGAUGGAGUAACCUACCGCACGUCACUGGAUACUUUGAAACAAUUUGUGAGUAAGUAUUAUUUAAACAAUUAUGGUAAUUA